rnacentral:rRNA from 1 species
CAGUCGCCGCGGGAAUACGAAGGGGGCUAGCGUUGUUCGGAAUCACUGGGCGUAAAGGGUGCGUAGGCGGAUCCUUAAGUCAGGGGUGAAAUCCCGAGGCUCAACCUCGGAACUGCCUUUGAUACUGGGGAUCUUGAGUCCGGAAGAGGUGAGUGGAACUGCGAGUGUAGAGGUGAAAUUCGUAGAUAUUCGCAAGAACACCGGUGGCGAAGGCGGCUCACUGGUCCGGAACUGACGCUGAGGCACGACAGCGUGGGGGGCAAACAGGAUUAGAUACCCGAGUAGUCCCUGUCUCUUAUAC